ACGCGUCGAACCUUACCAAGACUUGACAUAUACGAGAACGGGCCAGAAAUGGUCAACUCUUUGGACACUCGUAAACAGGUGGUGCAUGGUUGUCGUCAGCUCGUGUCGUGAGAUGUUGGGUUAAGUCCCCGCAACGAGCGCAACCCUCGUCCUAUGUUGCCAGCACGUAAUGGUGGGAACUCAUGGGAUACUGCCGGGGUCAACUCGGAGGAAGGUGGGGAUGACGUCAAAUCAUCAUGCCCCUUAUGUC
rnacentral:rRNA from 1 species